AGGACGAACGCUGGCGGCGUGCUUAACACAUGCAAGUCGAGCGGAAAGGCCCUUCGGGGUACUCGAGCGGCGAACGGGUGAGUAACACGUGAGUAAUCUGCCCCUAGCUCUGGGAUAGCUCCGGGAAACCGGGAUUAAUACCGGAUAUGACCACUUUAGACAUCUGCUGUGGUGGAAAGAAUUUCGGCUAGGGAUGAGCUCGCGGCCUAUCAGCUAGUUGGUGGAGUAACGGCCCACCAAGGCGACGACGGGUA
rnacentral:rRNA from 1 species